CUUGAAAGACUGAAGUUUAUUGAAGUGAAUUAGAGAGCAUUUUAUUCAUUGAAUAACUUGACCCUUGAUCAGGUUAUGUAUUUUGCUUUAAGAGCUGCUUGGGAGGCUGAGGCAGGAGAAUCACUUGAACCCGGGAGGCAGAGGUUGCAGUGAGCCGAGAUCGCACCAUCGCAUUCCAGCCUGGGGACAACAGCGAGAACUCAUCUCAAAAAAGAAAAAAAAAAAAAAAAGCUACAUUGGCAAUAUUGUGAAUGAAAUAAUAUUCUAUCCACCCAUUAUCAUUUAUCUGCAAAUAUCUGCAAAGGGAUUUUAAUGUGUUUCAUUCUUGAUUUAAGUCAAGUUAUCUGAAAGACUGUGUGUGUGUGUGUGUGUGUGUGUCUGAGGAGGACCGAGGGGGACCAAGUGUGUUUGUGUGCACAUGUAUAAAAUCUUCUGACUUUUAAUUUUAUUUCCUCAUGAACGGACAACUUGAUCUGUGCCAAUUUGCUUUUGAAUUUUUAUUAAGGUUCUCUGUGUGACUUUAUAUGUUAUUGUUCAUGAAUCCUUGCCAAAAAUGCACAUUUUCAAGGAAGGACACUUUGAAAC
rnacentral:lncRNA from 10 species